AAGUCGUAACAAGGUUUCCGUAGGUGAACCUGCGGAAGGAUCAUUACAGAAUUGAAAUCGACCGACCCUGUUGAAGCGUGGGCUGGUCUCGAGCGAGCGAGCGAGCGAGUGAGUGAGCGAGCCUGUUUGCUAGCUUGCUAGCUUGUUUGCUCGAGACAAGCAAAAACAAUUGAUGAAUGUACCAGUGAAUAUGAAAAAAAGAAAAACAACUUUUAACAAUGGAUCUCUUGGCUCUU
rnacentral:misc_RNA from 1 species